GAUGAACGCUGGCGGCGUGCCUAAUACAUGCAAGUCGAGCGAACGGACGAGAAGCUUGCUUCUCUGAUGUUAGCGGCGGACGGGUGAGUAACACGUGGAUACCCUACCUAUAAGACUGGGAUAACUUCGGGAAACCGGAGCUAAUACCGGAUAAUAUUUUGAACCGCAUGGUUCAAAAGUGAAAGACGGUCUUGCUGUCACUUAUAGAUGGAUCCGCGCUGCAUUAGCUAUUUGGUAAGGUAACGGCUUACCAAGGCAACGAUGCAUAGCCGACCUGAGAGGGUGAUCGGCCACACUGGAACUGAGACACGGUCCAGACUCCUACGGGAGGCAGCAGUAGGGAAUCUUCCGCAAUGGGCGAAAGCCUGACGGAGCAACGCCGCGUGAGUGAUGAAGGUCUUCGGAUCGUAAAACUCUGUUAUUAGGGAAGAACAUAGGUGUAAGUAACUGUGCACAUCUUGACGGUACCUAAUCAGAAAGCCACGGCUAACUACGUG
rnacentral:rRNA from 1 species